GACGAACGCUGGCGGCGUGCCUAAUACAUGCAAGUAGAACGCUGAAGGAGGAGCUUGCUCUUCUGGAUGAGUUGCGAACGGGUGAGUAACGCGUAGGUAACCUGCCUGGUAGCGGGGGAUAACUAUUGGAAACGAUAGCUAAUACCGCAUAACAUUGACUAUUGCAUGAUAGUCAAUUGAAAGGUGCAAAUGCACCACUACCAGAUGGACCUGCGUUGUAUUAGCUAGUUGGUGGGGUAACGGCUCACCAAGGCGACGAUACAUAGCCGACCUGAGAGGGUGAUCGGCCACACUGGGACUGAGACACGGCCCAGACUCCUACGGGAGGCAGCAGUAGGGAAUCUUCGGCAAUGGACGGAAGUCUGACCGAGCAACGCCGCGUGAGUGAAGAAGGUUUUCGGAUCGUAAAGCUCUGUUGUAAGAGAAGAACGAGUGUGAGAGUGGAAAGUUCACACUGUGACGGUUUCU
rnacentral:rRNA from 1 species